AUCGAACGCAACUAUUUUUAUAUUGCCAAAUUGAAUAUAAAUUCCGUAUGUUAUCGAUAACUAUAAUAGUGCGUCUGACUCGCGAGUCAUUUGUGGUACACAUGGAAUUCCACACUUUUUGCCGCAUAUACUAUGGGAGCAUUUCAGUUCACAUCUUUUGCUACAAGGCUGACAUUCCAGUCUGCAGGGCACUUCACACCUGUAAAUACGAUAAAUUUUAGACAAUUUUAAUUCAUCAAAUAAUGUUUGCUGUAGUGUUCUCAGAACAAAAAAGUUUGAUUACUGAUGUCCACAAAUAAGAAUAUUGUUGCAAGGCUCAGCACAGUUUAUGUGUAUUCGUCCCUGUAGGCAUGAACCACACUUUCCUUUGCAUAAAUGUUUGCACUCCAAUUCGACUUUGCACGGUGCUUUGCAGUACUUCAAUAAUUCUCGCGAGUUUGGAUCUACAAUGAGAAAUCAAAUCGAAUGUUAACUUCAAGUUAUUUGCGGUUGCAUGACUGAUACAAUUGAAACGCUGACCUGUCUUUUGAAGAUAGCAUGGUACUUGCAAAGAGUGCCCACACAGUGCAGGUUUUCCUAGCUUAACCAAGACCUUGCAGUCUGAAGUGCAAGCCUCUUUGCAUUUGUUAGUACAAGGGUGUCCACAAGGUAAUAAUUUAGGACACUUGCCGCUACAUUUAGAUGGCGAUGGUUCUUCGCUGCAUUUUACUUUCACGAUAUGGUUGCAGGGACUCAACUUUUUUACCUGAAAAUCAAGCUUCCGCAUGGUUCGCAGCAUUUCAAUGGGCACUUGUGAUCACAGCUUAACUUGCGCUUGCAAGGUCUGUUGCACUCAAUUUCCUCUACAUUCUUCGAGCACACAAAUUGCUUGAAACGAUGUCCGCAGGACCGGGUUUUCGCAACAAUUAUUGGACACAGCCCGCAUUCUUCGUAGCAACGUUUCUGACACAUAUGAUUUCCCUCACAAUUAUCAUAAAUCCGAGCGCAAUCUCUGUAGCACUUGUACUGAAAACCAAAUUUUAAAUCAAUAAUGAAAAAUAGAACAUAUUGAGUUAUCGCACUAGUUUUAGCUAAUCACUCAAUAAAAUAAGUAGAAUACAUU